GAUGAAGAACGUAGUGAAAUGCGAUAAGUAAUGUGAAUUGCAGAAUUCAGUGAAUCAUCGAGUCUUUGAACGCACAUUGCGCCCCCUGGUAUUCCGGGGGGCAUGCCUGUCCGAGCGUCAUUGCUGCCCUCAAGCUCGGCUUGUGUGUUGGGCCUCCGUCCUCCUCCCGGGGGACGGGCCCGAAAGGCAGCGGCGGCACCGCGUCCGGUCCUCGAGCGUAUGGGGCUUCGUCACCCGCUCUUGUAGGCCCGGCCGGCGCUUGCCGACACAUCAAUCUUUUUUCCAGGUUGACCUCGGAUCAGGUAGGGAUACCCGCUGAACUUAAGCAUAUCAAUAAGCGGAGGA
rnacentral:misc_RNA from 1 species